GACGAACGCUGGCGGCGUGCUUAACACAUGCAAGUCGAACGAAGAGCGAUGGAAGCUUGCUUCUAUCAAUCUUAGUGGCGAACGGGUGAGUAACGCGUAAUCAACCUGCCCUUCAGAGGGGGACAACAGUUGGAAACGACUGCUAAUACCGCAUACGAUCUAAUCUCGGCAUCGAGGAUAGAUGAAAGGUGGCCUCUACAUGUAAGCUAUCACUGAAGGAGGGGAUUGCGUCUGAUUAGCUAGUUGGAGGGGUAACGGCCCACCAAGGCGAUGAUCAGUAGCCGGUCUGAGAGGAUGAACGGCCACAUUGGGACUGAGACACGGCCCAGACUCCUACGGGAGGCAGCAGUGGGGAAUCUUCCGCAAUGGACGAAAGCCUGACGGAGCAACGCCGCGUGAGUGAUGACGGCCUUCGGGUUGUAAAGCUCUGUUAAUCGGGACGAAAGGCCUUCUUGCGAAU
rnacentral:rRNA from 1 species